GACGAACGCUGGCGGCGUGCUUAACACAUGCAAGUCGAACGGAAAGGCCCUGCUUUUGUGGGGUGCUCGAGUGGCGAACGGGUGAGUAACACGUGAGUAACCUGCCCUUGACUUUGGGAUAACUUCAGGAAACUGGGGCUAAUACCGGAUAGGAGCUCCUGCUGCAUGGUGGGGGUUGGAAAGUUUCGGCGGUUGGGGAUGGACUCGCGGCUUAUCAGCUUGUUGGUGGGGUAGUGGCUUACCAAGGCUUUGACGGGUAGCCGGCCUGAGAGGGUGACCGGCCACAGUGGGACUGAGAUACGGCCCAGACUCCUACGGGAGGCAGCAGUGGGGAAUAUUGCACAAUGGGCGGAAGCCUGAUGCAGCAACGCCGCGUGCGGGAUGACGGCCUUCGGGUUGGAAACCGCUUUCGCCUGUGACGAAGCGUGAGUGACGGUAAUGGGUAAAGAAGCACCGGCUAACUACGUG
rnacentral:rRNA from 1 species